rnacentral:ncRNA from 1 species
UUAUUAACUUUGACGAGAAGAGUAAUCUUAGGAAGUAGUCUUAGCGAAUAAGGGAUGGUGUAAGCCUUAUACGAAGCCUAAUGAUGAAGAACAUCUCCGAGUUUCUAACCGAAAGUUUUAUAACAAGUAGACUUAGACGUAGCCAACACGUUACAGUUGGAAGACAUUAUAUAGUGUCUAUUAAGGUGGCUAUUUAUAGCAAAUUAGGUGGUACCGCGAAUUUUACUUUCGUCCUGAUA